rnacentral:rRNA from 1 species
GCUUGCACUCACCGAUAAAGAGUUGAGUGGCGAACGGGUGAGUAACACGUGGGCAACCUGCCCAAAAGAGGGGGAUAACACUUGGAAACAGGUGCUAAUACCGCAUAACCAUAGUUACCGCAUGGUAACUAUGUAAAAGGUGGCUAUGCUACCGCUUUUGGAUGGGCCCGCGACGCAUUAGCUAGUUGGUGGGGUAAAGGCUUACCAAGGCAAUGAUGCGUAGCCGAACUGAGAGGUUGAUCGGCCACAUUGGGACUGAGACACGGCCCAAACUCCUACGGGAGGCAGCAGUAGGGAAUCUUCCACAAUGGGCGAAAGCCUGAUGGAGCAACGCCGCGUGGGUGAAGAAGGUCUUCGGAUCGUAAAACCCUGUUGUUAGAGAAGAAAGUGCGUGAGAGUAACUGUUCACGUUUCGACGGUAUCUAACCAGAAAGCCACGGCUAACUACGUGCCAGCAGCCGCGGUAAUACGUAGGUGGCAAGCGUUAUCCGGAUUUAUUGGGCGUAAAGAGAACGCAGGCGGUCUUUUAAGUCUGAUGUGAAAGCCUUCGGCUUAACCGGAGUAGUGCAUUGGAAACUGGGAGACUUGAGUGCAGAAGAGGAGAGUGGAACUCCAUGUGUAGCGGUGAAAUGCGUAGAUAUAUGGAAGAACACCAGUGGCGAAAGCGGCUCUCUGGUCUGUA